GAUGAACGCUGGCGGCGUGCCUAAUACAUGCAAGUCGAGCGAAUGGAUUAAGAGCUUGCUCUUAUGAAGUUAGCGGCGGACGGGUGAGUAACACGUGGGUAACCUGCCCAUAAGACUGGGAUAACUCCGGGAAACCGGGGCUAAUACCGGAUAACAUUUUGAACCGCAUGGUUCGAAAUUGAAAGGCGGCUUCGGCUGUCACUUAUGGAUGGACCCGCGUCGCAUUAGCUAGUUGGUGAGGUAACGGCUCACCAAGGCAACGAUGCGUAGCCGACCUGAGAGGGUGAUCGGCCACACUGGGACUGAGACACGGCCCAGACUCCUACGGGAGGCAGCAGUAGGGAAUCUUCCGCAAUGGACGAAAGUCUGACGGAGCAACGCCGCGUGAGUGAUGAAGGCUUUCGGGUCGUAAAACUCUGUUGUUAUGGAAGAACAAGUGCUAGUCGAGUAAGCUGGCACCUUGACGGUACCUAACCAGAAAGCCACGGCUAACUACGUGCCAGCCGCCGCGGUAA
rnacentral:rRNA from 1 species